rnacentral:rRNA from 1 species
UUGAAUGGCCGCGGUAUUUUGACCGUGCUAAGGUAGCAUAAUCAUUAGUUUUUUAAUUGAAAACUAGAAUGAAGGGUUGGAUGAAAAAAUAACUGUCUUUAUUUAAUUUUAUUAGAAUUUUAUUUUUUAGUUAAAAAGCUAAAAUAAUUUUAAAAGACGAGAAGACCCUAUAGAGUUUAAUAAAUAAUAAAUUUAAUUAUUUAAUAUUUUAAAAUUAUUAAUUAUUUAAUUGGGGUGAUUAAAAAAUUUAAUAAACUUUUUUUUUAAUUCUUAUAUUUAUAUAUAGAUAAUUGAUCCAAUAAAAUUGAUUAAAAGAAUAAAUUACCUUAGGGAUAACAGCGUAAUUUUAUUGGAGAGUU